rnacentral:rRNA from 1 species
GACGAACGCUGGCGGCGCGCCUAACACAUGCAAGUCGAACGGAGCUUAGAGAGCUUGCUUUUUAAGCUUAGUGGCGAACGGGUGAGUAACGCGUGAGUAACCUGCCCUAGAGUGGGGGACAACAGUUGGAAACGACUGCUAAUACCGCAUAAGCCCACGGUACCGCAUGGUACUGAGGGAAAAGGAUUUAUUCGCUUUAGGAUGGACUCGCGUCCAAUUAGCUAGUUGGUGAGGUAACGGCCCACCAAGGCGACGAUUGGUAGCCGGACUGAGAGGUUGAGCGGCCACAUUGGGACUGAGACACGGCCCAGACUCCUACGGGAGGCAGCAGUGGGGGAUAUUGCACAAUGGGGGAAACCCUGAUGCAGCGACGCCGCGUGGAGGAAGAAGGUUUUCGGAUUGUAAACUCCUGUCGUUAGGGACGAUAAUGACGGUACCUAACAAGAAAGCACCGGCUAACUACGUGCCAGCAGCCGCGGUAA